AUUUCUGUAGCUCAACGGUAAAGCAUCUGCUUGGCAUGAAGAACAUCUCAGGUUUAACUCCUGGUGUCUGGGAGA